AGAAAAACCCUGCCAUCACAGCCCGUACGAGAACACAAGGGUUACCUCCGCCGCCGCGCCCCAUCCCUCCACCUCCGCUCCCCCGUCCCUCUGCUCGCCGCCGCGCGCCCCGUCCCUAUGCUAGCCGCCUCGACCCAUCCCUCCACCGCCGCGCCCACGUCCAUCCUCUCCUCGGUGCCCGUCCUCGCUCCGCCGUUGCCGAAUCUGGACGAGAUCGGGAGAAUCUGCCGGAUCUCGCGGAGCUGCUCAUUGGCCAUGCGGGGAGGACGAACGAGCUGCUCGUCGGACAUGCAGGGAGCACGAACGAGCUGCUCAUCGGCGUCCGUCCCACAGCCCCGCUGAAGACGGCGCCCAGCCCCCUCGACAACGCACUCCUCCUACUUGCCGCCCGGGUGCAAACAGCGACGGCAAGUAGGCGGCAAGUAUACUGCACCGAGAAGCGAUACAGGGGAAUGAAGCAAGCGAGUAGGAAUGCGCGGCGACCUGCUACUGCACUAAUAGUAGCCUUGACGGAGUACCGGGGCCAGCUCGACAGGGCAUGCCGCCCGCUGUAGACGCUUGGUUGUGUGAGAUGGAGAUGAACCCCGGGUCGUCGCCUCUGCCGCCUGGACAGAGCUCCACCGGUGCUGGGGAUGAACCCUGCGUCUGUGAUGAGAUGUGGCCCUGUUAUUGUUGGCUGUCGAAUUUGCGAUGUAAUCCGUCCCUAUGUUGGUGUAUUAACCACUUCGCCCUCCCGCACAAUGAGCAGAACAGAGCAGCGGCUGAAAUUUACCCAUUGAUUUCUUGGAGUGAUUCAAACCUAGGAAGCCUGCUACUUGUGCAAGCGACAGGGUAACAAGUUUUAGUUUUCUUACUGAUGCACCUCAAUUUGCAAGGUUAGAACAAUGUCAGUUUACUUUAUAUUGGUUUUCUAAUUUCUACAUAUUCCCUCAAGCAAAUCUAAUUAUAUAGGUAGUACGGAAAGCAGGCAAAUUAUGUAACUAUUUGGGUGUACUCAUGUCAGAUUGAGGAGAAAGAAUUAUUUUAUUCACCAUCCUAUUUUUAUCUAUAAUGAUGAUCACUUUUUCCAUCUUGUGAUCUUCUUUGUGCCGGUUGUGCGAAUACUUUGUUUGCACCUUAGUGGGACUGAAAUUUUCCUGCUACCAUGAGUCAUGGUAGUAGGCUGCUGCGGCAAAAAAACUGGUAAGCCCCCUAAGGGAAGAAAUUUGAAGAAAGUCUCAUCCUGCUUACCAUGUUUCAUCUUAAAAUUUUGGCUUGAAUUUUUUUUUUGUGUAACCUAUAUCUCCGCAUGGUUACUUUCUCUAGACAUGCUUUAGCUGCAGCAUUGGUCAAGUGGCUUGAACACAACUCACAUGAGUCAUUGCCAAAUGGCCCUUUUCUGAAAUUCAUUCUCUUAUGCACUGAGAGAGGAGUUACACCAUGACAGUAUGUAUACAUACAGAUGCAGGCAAUGGAGAAACUCAUGCAGAUGAUGACUGAAGAAUUUUUCAUGAAUUUUCCAACCUGAAUUGGCUAUAGAGGUUGGGAAAAGAGGAUUCCAGGCUCUGAUGAACACAGGUUCUUUCGCAGAAACCAAUUCAACUAGACCAGGACUAUGUUUAUUAGUCCUCCAGUGUUUGUUGGAAUGAGAUGACACAUGGUAUGCCAGCUAACAAGCAACUGAAGCAAGACGAUUUUUGUAAUUUCUUGGAAAGAAUGAGCCCCUGAACCCAGGAUGGCGAAGGAUCCAAUAUGUGAGGACCAGUGAGGGAAUUGCAGAGCUUCAUAUUCAGUAUAUUUUAAGUCCUUGCCUACUUCAAGUGCCUAGAUUACAGGAAACAUGUUUCUUCAAGUGUCUACUUCAAGUAAGUUUCUUAUAGAAGUAGUCAGUUUGAUUCCUUCAAAAUAGUUGUUGCCUGAUAAUUUGUGUAUGACUAAAUAGUAGUACCUCAAAUUUGCUUCAGCUUCUUAAAACAGAGUAAUUUUGUAAAUCCUAAUAGAUAUCUAUCAGUCUGUACCAAUUUCUUGUAAAUCUGCAAUACAACAUAGCCUCAUCUGAUCGAAUCAUUGGUUUCAGAUCAAUACAUCCUUGUGCAUUCCUAUAAGAUCAAUAAAAUUCAGUUUGAUUGUCUCAAAAACUUGCUGCUUGACAAUCUGUAUGACUAGAUAGCAAUACCUUAAAAUUGCUUUUGGUUUUAAACUGAACUGAACUCAGUUUGGUUCUACAAAAUAUAGGGUUGUAUUCAUUCUACAAAAACUGAACUGAAGCUAACCGUUUGGUGGGCAAAAUAAUUUGAUGGACUGUAGUUUCUUUGAAUUUUUUUUUGUUAACUCUAAACUGGACUCAACUCAGUUUGAUUCUGUAAAAAAGAUUGUGACAGACUUAUAUAUAUGCAGCAGUCUUUCGCCAACACUCAAAUUAGAUGGGCAUGAUAUUUAAAAGAAAUUGACAUACUGUAGUUUAUGAGAAUUUGGCAAGAAACUCGGAACCGAUGGACUUGACUUGUGAAAAAAUGUAAUCAAUGGACGACUACAGUUUAUAUCAAACACAGAAUCGAUGGACUUUCGCAAUGCAGGCUUGCCCUUACCAUUUACCAGGUGGCGACUUGCCGGAGGAGCCGGUGGUGCUGCUGCGACCUUCUCCGGGCGAUGGUCAAUGAUGCAAGUUGAAACCGGGGAUGGGAUAGCGGCUCCGGGCAACAAUCAGAGGCGAGGCAGCGCUACAGACCAAGGACAAAGUGCUGCACCAGGGCGACAGCGCGGGGCGAGGAAGAAGCGGCGGAUGGGGCUGCACAUGGGGGAGUUGGGGCGACGGCUCGGUUCAGCGCACGGGAUCGUAUUAACUCUGUUUUCUCCUAGGCUUCGCAUCCGUCCAGGGUGGAGCACUGAGAGCAGCCUUAUAGAAGUAAUGCAAUAUAUUCUCUCUUAUGCCUACUUGAAAUACUGUUGUGGGUCUGUACUUUGCCUCUCAUAUUGCAAGGAUAACACAUUGUAUGCCAAUUCUCUUAACUGUAGUAAGGAUGAAGCAGGAAAGUGUGCUGGACCUUCUAACAUGAAUAUUGUACAUGUACGAGCUACGAGCCACUAUUUUUUAUCAUAUGGAUUGUAAAUGUAGUGACACCGAAGUUUGUAACAUAUCCUUAAAUUUCUUUAUUGUAACAUUAUGUUAACUAAAAAUCUAGUAGCCGUGACCUUGA